rnacentral:rRNA from 1 species
UACGUAGGGGGCAAGCGUUGUCCGGAUUUAUUGGGCGUAAAGAGCGUGUAGGCGGUUCGGUAGGUCCGUUGUGAAAACUCGAGGCUCAACCUCGAGACGCCGAUGGAAACCCCCGAACUAGAGUCCGGAAGAGGAGAAUGGAAUUCCUGGUGUAGCGGUGAAAUGCGCAGAUAUCAGGAAGAACACCCGUAGCUAAGGCGGUUCUCUAGUACGGUACUGACGCUGAGACGCGAAAGCGUGGGGAGCGAACAGG